rnacentral:snoRNA from 1 species
UGUUCUGGUGAUGACCAAACAUAAACUUUCGUUCUGCCGAGAUUUUAUUCAGUGCGGAAUAUAAUAUGGAGACCUGAACUGAAGAACC